GAAAGUGUAUGUUUUAGAAAGAGAUUACCUUGAUUCACUAGUCUCACAAAGUAACAGUUUAAGGCAUUUAAAAAUGGCUACCGUCAGUGUGCUCGGUAGAGUAAGCUUACGACUGUACGUGGCUACUGUAGCAUUAGCUCUUUAGUCCACCGAUGAUGGUGGAUUAAAGAGUUGCACGUUGCUAAUAUUGUAUGCCUUGGCGCAAAUAGCAUCGCAGGUGUGUAAUGUUAAAAAGCAGUUUUCUACUUCUGCUAGCUCUGUACAAACCCAUAAUGCUAUCGUUAAUUGCUAACAUUGUUGAACUGAGCGCAAACACUGAAAAUCAUUUGGAUUGCUUUAUUUAUGUGUUUUAUGUAUUUCUUUGUGUCAUUGAGUUCUAUCAAAAUCUCGCGCUUCAGGGUGCCAACAAACUCCUUCAGGAUAUGGAGGUAACAUUAUUAUUUUUAAAAGUGAUGUAGUUAAACACUACUUCAAGAGGGAACACUCUUGUCUAAUUUAUUGUAGAGAGUAAAAGUUGACUUUGGUACCCCCAUUAGCACAUUUCUACAGCAUGUCCAACAUAUUACUUUUUUUCUGUGAAAUUGGCUCCAUUAACAUUUGAUGUUAAUAACAUUUACUGUUUAAUAUUUACUGUUUAACAUAACUUACUAUAUCCCUUAAAAUUCUGCUUAAAAGACUGAUUGCUGAAUGUAAGUGAGUGAUAAGUUUUAUGUACUAUACUCAUACUGUACUCUUAAUGUUACUCUCACAUAGAAAUGGAUCAGACUGAUGGCAGCCUUGAAGCACUGCAGGCACGAAUAGAGGAGCUUGUCGUCGUCAUCAUCAGAGUGCGAAAACAAAAUCUUUACAGGCAAACUGAUAGCAACAAGAGGCGACAUAGAAUUCGCAAGGUCAUCUUGGAUGAGAAAUAACGCUUGGUGCUGCUGUCGACGAUUACAACAAGCUGGCUGAACCGUCAAAGCAAAUUAUGUCCAGUGAUGCCCUCAUCCAGACCGACGUAUGGCCCUGGCAGAACACAAGUAAACCUGCUGCAGACCCUAAGACAAAAAAAGAGGUCGUUGAGAAGGUGAUGGCUGUGAGGCGCCUUUAAAGAGGAGGAGAUGAUCCUUUGCAGGGCCAGCCCAGGACAGGACAGCGCUGAAAGCACGAACUCUGGAGUUCUUUUUACAGCCUCUCUUGUUGGCAUGUUGGAGGAUGCAAAGAAGGGACUCCAUUGCCUGCUCCUAAAAAAACAAACUGAACUGAAAGCUGAAAUGCUAAAAGUCAAGGACUAUUACCAGAGAAUCCUCAGCCACCAACCACUCCUGGAAACAGACGAGGAGGAGGAGGAAAAUUCAGAGGAUGCUGCUGAGAGUGACUUCAGCACUUCUGAUGAAGAUUGAGAGUUUGUGUGUGUG